rnacentral:lncRNA from 1 species
UACGUAUUAAGUCAUGAAACAUGACUUUUCUGCUUUACUUUAUGAAUGUUUAUAACGAAUAUUUUCUUUUGCCACUUCAUUUUGCUGCAAGGUGUAUGGUACAGUGGGUGAAUGAUUACUCUAUAAUCUUCCUUUUGACUGGUAAUUAUUGUAAUUUAUACCUAUAAACCUUAGAUUUAUAAUUUUUCUAGGACUUUGCUUGUUCUGAUUUCAAUAGAAUCUAAGUCAUAACUUUCAAUAAAAUCUUUCUACUUUCUACUUUUCUGCUUCAAAUUUUAUUUCGGAUUUCAUUCUCAUGUAGAAGUGUGUCACCAGGAACCUGAAGGCAUCUGCCAGUGUAAGGCUUCAUUGGCUUGAACUAGUAAACCACAACGCCCUCCUCCUUUGAAACUUUAGUUGGAGCCUCAGUUCUUUCCCGGGAUCUCACGAUAACCACUCUCCCCCUACCCUAAGCUUCUCUGUAGUAAUUAGGAACCUGAAAAUCGAAGAGUAUCUCAUGUAUGAACUUCAUAUUUACAUAGCAGUGCCUUAAGAAACAGAAAAGAAAAGCUUAAACACAUGCAUGCAUAUUACUAUAUGUACUAAUAUGCAUGAUAAGCUUUACCUUCCUGAAGGUUUAUUUUUUCUGGGGAUAAGCCCAUGUCCAUGUGUAACUAAAUGUACGACUUUCUUCUACUCUGCUGUCUUCUAAG